rnacentral:rRNA from 1 species
CCUACGGGAGGCUGCCGUGGGGAAUAUUGGACAAUGGGGGGAACCCUGAUCCAGCGACGCCGCGUGAGUGAAGAAGUAUUUCGGUAUGUAAAGCUCUAUCAGCAGGGAAGAAAAUGACGGUACCUGAGUAAGAAGCCCCGGCUAACUACGUGCCAGCAGCCGCGGUAAUACGUAGGGGGCAAGCGUUAUCCGGAUUUACUGGGUGUAAAGGGAGCGUAGACGGCAGUGCAAGUCUGGAGUGAAAGGCGGGGGCUCAACCCCCGGAGUGCUCUGGAAACUGUACGGCUGGAGUGCAGGAGAGGUAAGUGGAAUUCCUAGUGUAGCGGUGAAAUGCGUAGAUAUUAGGAGGAACACCAGUGGCGAAGGCGGCUUACUGGACUGUAACUGACGUUGAGGCUCGAAAGCGUGGGGAGCAAACAGGAUUAGAUACCCCUGUAGUC